rnacentral:lncRNA from 1 species
AUUUGCUUGUUUUUCAAAUUUUUUAGCAUCUUGAAAAUUUGCUCAUUCUCAUUUGAUUAUUUAGUUUUAGUAUCAGAGCAAGUUGCAUCUUGAAAAUUUGCUCAUUCUCAUUUGAUUAUUUAGUUUUAGUAUCAGAGCAAGUUUAACAAUUAAGUGUAUCAAUGCAUGUCUCAGAAUUAAUUAUAAAGUAUAUCAGAGCA